GUGUAGUCAGCUUUUUACCAGGGAUGACAUCUUUGUACAUGCUAGCGUUUGUGGGGAGAGUAACCCAGCUGAGGAAGAUGUCACUCUUUGUGAGGACACCCAUGAACACUACAGCAGUGUAUCAGACAUCCUGAUGGAGCUUGAGAAGAGAGUGGAUACUUCUGUGACAUUUAACAUCGCAGUUACGAGAGAGGACCUCUUUCAAAGG